AAGGAGUCGUCUUCGUAUGCGAGUGUUCGGGUGUCAAACCCCUACGCGUAAUGAAAGUGAACGUAGGUGAGAGCUUCGGCGCAUCACCGACCGAUCCUGAUGUUCUCGGAUGGAUUUGAGUAAGAGCAUACGGGGCCGGACCCGAAAGAAGGUGAACUAUGCCUGUAUAGGGUGAAGCCAGAGGAAACUCUGGUGGAGGCUCGCAGCGGUUCUGACGUGCAAAUCGAUCGUCAAAUAUGGGCAUGGGGGCGAAAGACUAAUCGAACCUUCUAGUAGCUGGUUUCCGC
rnacentral:misc_RNA from 1 species